CAAUCAGCAAUACUUCUUAAGAUCAUUUGCUGCUGUUGAAUUGAGGCACCCAGCUUGAUCUCUAAUUCACCUGAGCAUUGUUUCUAAACUGCUGGAUUUUUUAAUGAAGCACUUCCAUUAUUUGGUUUUCGCUAUAUGAUGCUUAAGUAGUAUGGUUUUUUGGGAUCCUUUGAUUUUGAGGUUGGGUGUGCACUGUAUGAAAGGUGGUCCAUUUGAAAUCCAUAUUUAGGGGAUUUGUUGAUGGACCUUUAUAUGGGGAAACCAAUGCAUUUCUUGAUGAUUAGCAUAAUUCACUGAGCGUUGUUUCUAACCUGCUGGAUUUUUUUAAUGAAGCACUUCCAUUAUUUGGUUUUCGCUAUAUGAUGCUUAGGUAGUAUGGUUUUAUGGGAUCCUUUGAUUUUGAGGUUGGGUGUGCACUGUAUGAAAGGUGGUCCAUUUGAAAUCCAUAUUUAGGGGAUUUGUUGAUAGACCUUUAUAUGGGGAAACCAAUGCAUUUCUUGAUGAUUAGCAUAAUUCACCUGAGCAUUGUUUCUAAACUGCUGGAUUUUUUUAAUGAAGCACUUCCAUUAUUUGGUUUUUGCUAUAUGAUGCUUAGGUAGUAUGGUUUUAUGGGAUCCUUUGAUUUUGAGGUUGGUUGUGCACUGUAUGAAAGGUGGUCCAUUUGAAAUCCAUAUUUAGGGGAUUUUUUGAUAGACCUUUAUAUGGGGAAACCAAUGCAUUUCUUGAUGAUUAGCAUAAUUUACCUGAGCAUUGUUUCUAAACUGCUGGAUUUUUUUAAUGAAGCACUUCCAUUAUUUGGUUUUCGCUAUAUGAUGCUUAGGUAGUAUGGUUUUAUGGGAUCCUUUGAUUUUGAGGUUGGGUGUGCACUGUAUGAAAGGUGGUCCAUUUGAAAUCCAUAUUUAGGGGAUUUGUUUAUAGACCUUUAUAUGGGGAAACCAUGCAUUUCUUGAUGAUUAGCAUAAUUCACCUGAGCAUUGUUUCUAAACUGCUGGAUUUUUUUAAUGAAGCACUUCCAUUAUUUGGUU
rnacentral:lncRNA from 1 species